UUAUAUGAGAGACUACCACGAUU
rnacentral:piRNA from 1 species